rnacentral:rRNA from 1 species
AGAUUGAACGCUGGCGGCAUGCCUAACACAUGCAAGUCGAACGGGAGUAGCAAUACUCUAGUGGCGGACGGGUGAGGAAUACGUAGGAAUUUGCCCUUAAGUGGGGGAUAACCCGGGGAAACCCGGAUUAAUACCGCAUGACCUCGAAAGAGCAAAGUGGGGGAUCGCAAGACCUCACGCUUUUGGAGAAGCCUACGUCGGAUUAGCUAGUUGGUGAGGUAAUGGCUCACCAAGGCGACGAUCCGUAACUGGUCUGAGAGGAUGAUCAGUCACACCGGAACUGAGACACGGUCCGGACUCCUACGGGAGGCAGCAGUGGGGAAUAUUGGACAAUGGGCGCAAGCCCGAUCCAGCAAUGCCGCGUGUGUGAAGAAGGCCUUCGGGUUGUAAAGCUCUUUUACCCGAGAUGAUAAUGACAGUAUCGGAGAAUAAGCCCGGCUAACUCCGUGCCAGCAGCCGC